rnacentral:rRNA from 1 species
GACGAACGCUGGCGGCGUGCUUAACACAUGCAAGUCGAGCGGUAAGGCUCCUUCGGGAGUACACGAGCGGUGAACGGGUGAGUAACACGUGAGCAAUCUGCCCUUCACACAGGGAUAACUCCGGGAAACCGAAGCUAAUACCUGAUACGACCACUUCAGGCAUCUGAUGGUGGUGGAAAGUUCCGGCGGUGAAGGAUGAGCUCGCGGCCUAUCAGCUUGUUGGUGGGGUAACGGCCCACCAAGGCAACGACGGGUAGCCGGCCUGAGAGGGUGACCGGCCACACUGGGACUGAGACACGGCCCAGACUCCUACGGGAGGCAGCAGUGGGGAAUAUUGGACAAUGGGCGAAAGCCUGAUCCAGCAACGCCGCGUGAGGGAUGACGGCCUUCGGGUUGUAAACCUCUUUCAGCAGGGACGAAGCGCAAGUGACGGUACCUGCAGAAGAAGCACCGGCCAACUACGUGCCAGCCGCCGCCGUAA